rnacentral:rRNA from 1 species
UCUAUGGAGAGUUUGAUCCUGGCUCAGGACGAACGCUGGCGGCGUGCCUAAUACAUGCAAGUCGAGCGRAGUUUUGAAAAGCUUGCUUUUCAAAACUUAGCGGCGGACGGGUGAGUAACACGUGGGCAACCUGCCCUUGAGACGGGGAUAACUCCGGGAAACCGGAGCUAAUACCGGAUAACACAUAUCUUCGCAUGAGGAUAUGUUAGAAGGUGGCUUUUAGCUACCACUCAAGGAUGGGCCCGCGGCGCAUUAGCUAGUUGGUGAGGUAACGGCUCACCAAGGCGACGAUGCGUAGCCGACCUGAGAGGGUGAUCGGCCACACUGGGACUGAGACACGGCCCAGAC